rnacentral:rRNA from 1 species
UGCUGGCGCUGACGAGUGGCGGACGGGUGAGUAACGCGUAGGAAUCUGCCUCAUAGUGGGGGACAACGUGGGGAAACCCACGCUAAUACCGCAUACGCCCUACGGGGGAAAGGAGGGGAUCUUCGGACCUUUCGCUAUGAGAUGAGCCUGCGUUAGAUUAGCUAGUUGGUAGGGUAAAGGCCUACCAAGGCGACGAUCUAUAGCUGGUCUGAGAGGACGAUCAGCCACACUGGGACUGAGACACGGCCCAGACUCCUACGGGAGGCAGCAGUGGGGAAUAUUGGACAAUGGGCGAAAGCCUGAUCCAGCAAUACCGCGUGUGUGAAGAAGGCCUUAGGGUUGUAAAGCACUUUCAAUUGGGAGGAAAACCUACCGGUCAAUACCCGGUAGCUUGACAUUACCUUUAGAAGAAGCACCGGCUAACUCCGUGCCAGCAGCCGCGGUAAUACGGAGGGUGCGAGCGUUAAUCGGAAUUACUGGGCGUAAAGCGUGCGUAGGCGGUUCGUUAAGUCAGAUGUGAAAGCCCUGGGCUCAACCUGGGAACUGCAUUUGAAACUGGCGGACUAGAGUUUAGUAGAGGGGAGUGGAAUUUCAGGUGUAGCGGUGAAAUGCGUAGAUAUCUGAAGGAACACCAGUGG